rnacentral:rRNA from 1 species
UACGAAGGGGGCUAGCGUUGCUCGGAAUUACUGGGCGUAAAGCGCACGUAGGCGGAUUCCUAAGUCGGUGGUGAAAUCCUGGAGCUCAACUCCAGAACUGCCUCCGAUACUGAGAGUCUCCGAGUCCGGGAGAGGUGAGUGGAACUGCGAGUGUAGAGGUGAAAUUCGUAGAUAUUCGCAAGAACACCAGUGGCGAAGGCGGCUCACUGGCCCGGUACUGACGCUGAGGUGCGAAAGCGUGGGGAGCAAACAGG